CCUACGGGUGGCAGCAGUGAGGAAUAUUGGUCAAUGGGCGGAAGCCUGAACCAGCCAAGUAGCGUGCAGGAUGACGGCCCUACGGGUUGUAAACUGCUUUUAUACGGGAAUAACGCGCCUUACGUGUAGGGCUUUGCAUGUACCGUAUGAAUAAGAACCGGCUAUUUCCGUGCCAGCAGCCGCGGUAAUACGGAAGGUCCGUGCGUUAUCUGGAUUUAUGGGGUUUAAGGCGAGAGUAGGCCGCAUGUCAAGCGUGCUGUGAAAUGCACGGGCUCAACCCGGGCCUUGCAGAGCUAACUGGCGUGCUUGAGUCCCCGGAAAGCAGGCAGAAUUCGUCGUGUAGCGGUGAAAUGCUUAGAUAUGACGAAGAACCCCGAUUGCGAAGGCAGCUUGCUGCAGCGGAACUGACGCUGAUGCUCGAAAGCGCGGGUAGCGAACAGGAUUAGAUACCCUAGUAGUC
rnacentral:rRNA from 1 species